ensembl:lncRNA
GGAGAGAGAGAGAGAGAGAGAGAGAGAGAGAGAGAGAGAGAGAGAGAGAGAGAGAGAGAGAGAGAGAGAGAGGAAAGAUUCAAAUUGCAUACUCUUCUCAUCUUCCUCUCAAAACUCAUUGGAGGAAAUGAUCCAGGAUCUCACGCUCUCUCAUCCAAUGGCUUUUGAGAAGUAAACGAGCAGAGAGGAAGCGAAGGAGUACGCAAUUGAGAUCUUUACAGAGGGAGAAAGAGAGCUAUGUCUAAAAUGAAAGUUCAUCAUUUUUAGUUUUAAAGUGUUGUGUAUGUAUCAUUUCUGCCAAUGACAUAUAAUAGACAACUCUGUAAAGAUCUGUAUAUGAGAACUUCCAGCAGUGAAUGGCGUAUGUGUCCCUUCGACCUACUAAGAGAUAGUAGGAGACUGCAGCAGGCAGCGUCUGGUUCAGAAAGCUGUGUGUUUGCGCAUGUCAGAUAGCUGGCCUGAGCUCCGGGUUGCCUGCCUGUUGGGAAAACCAUCUCUCACAUGCCCGCUCUGCUGUCGUCACACACCCACGCACACACGCUCAGAUCUCGUCUUAUUCUUUUUCAUCUCUUUCCGUUGCCUUCCACUGUCGCCGUGACGCAUGCCCCCUAACGACCAUGGCUGUAGACUGUUACCAUGGUGCUGUCUCUAGAGUAACAAUCUAAAGCCACGGUCGCCAUGGAGACAGCAGGGAGAUGGAGGAGCGGGAGUUGGCAUGGUAACUGGAGAUGGUGAAGUCCGAUUGGCUGGUGGGUGGAAAUGAUGUGCGCACAUCAGCAUAGGGCUCCCCCAAUUGCAGGCCCACGCAGGCAGGCUUACUCACACACACACAUGCAGACACACAAGACGGAGAGAUAGCGAGGUGGUGCAGGAGAAAGACAAAGAGAAAGAAAGAGAGAGCAUUGUUGAGUUUCCAUGUCCUCUGGAAAGUUGCUAUCAUAGCAUACCAUACUCGGACAUUACUGAGACAUUACCGGCACAGACAUUGUUAGGGUCUUCCCAUAACCUUAGUUGCCAAUGCCAUACCAUUGUCAUGGUGUUAGUUAACCCUUUACCCCAGACUACAGUUUCCAUGGCAGCACUUCCAGGGUGGUGUCUCUGGGACAGGUAGUGUGUUACCACGGUGAGUUGCCAGGCGUCAGUAGCCAUGACUGUAGACUGUUACUGUAACUGUGAGACUGUUUCAAGCAGUAAGCAGUCUAAAGCCAAGGUGCUGAUGCUCUGGCUGUCAUGGGUCAGUGGUCGUAACCAUGGUAACCAGAAAGAGGAGGAGGAAGACAACGGACUGGAUAUAUAACACUGCACCUGCAAUGAAAAGAAGAGAAGACUUCAUAGUGUUAAGAGGUUAAUUAAUAAGACAUGGAUCUAAAUGAAUUCAAGUGUAUACAUUACAGAGACCCUAUUCCGUAUAUAGUGCACUACUUUUGACCAGUGCCCUAUGCCAUUUGGGAUGCAGUCUUAAUGUGAGGCUUUCUUCCUGUGUAGUUCCCUGGUACCAUUAUGUUAACCAGGACAGCAUGACGGUCAGCGUCCCAGUAUGUAGAUGUUUAUCUGGCAAUGGGAACGGUUAGAGACAUUCAAAAAGGAAUGCGUCUUAUUUUUGAGAGAAAUCUUCAUUAAAUAUCAAGCAAAACUAUGACUAUCCCCAUGUCUCUGGCUCUCUCUCGCUGAUGACCUGGUUCUCGUGUGUGUGUGUGUGGUACAGUAUUGAUUAAACCCAGGCUUAUCGCAUAUCUGCGAUAUUCCCCAUGGAGACCAUGUUCUGUCUGAGAGAGAGAGCGAGAGGGAGAGGGAGGGAGAAGGGGGUGGGGGUUCUUAAUGUGUCUCCCUGCUACCCUGCAUUGACGUACUGGAUAGGAUGAGGCACUCAACUGUUACACAUCACUGGAUCUAAAGAGGUUACACUUCUGAUUACGUGGGCGAGCAACAGGAAGUAAAGAAAAAGAGAGCGAUCCCAAACAUUAUCAUACAAUUCAAAUCACUGAUACAUCUUGACAUUUGGGAAAGAAGUAUACCUAUUUAGUACUCUCUCUCUUUCUCUCACACUCACACUCUCUCUCUUUCUCUCACACUCUCUCUCUUUUGCUCUCUCAUCUGCAUGCCUGUCAGAUUAUAAUUUAUAUCUCUCUCUCUCUCUCACCUGCAUGCAUGCCAGACUAUAAUCCCUAUAAUGCCUGAGCUGGUGUUAGAUCUUGUCACUCAGCCCCUCUAACCCCGGCGAGAUGUACCGGAUUAAACGAGUCCCGGCAGCUCUGGCUGACUCAGUGACUCACUGACCGAGUCUGGAGGCCAGUUUAUUAAAGCUACAGACACCGCAUGCAGUGUUCAUUGUCUUUCGAGCACUUUUCUCGGGGGUUUCACAACUUGAUGAGAAAUUCCUCAAAUAACAACUAUAAAGUUACACGUUUAUUUUAGAAUCACUAAAGUUACGUUUCUUUACGUACUUUUAUUGAAGCCCUUCGUAAACUAGAGCUCUUUCUCUGCCGCUUAUUUCAGCACCACGGGGAAAGGGACAGUGCCAGCAGCAGAAUGGAUCGUUUGCCGAUUUGCUAGCUACCAAUCUGUUUUUUACUAUAGUCAACGAUGUAGCAUUGUUGAAUGGCAAACAGCCCAUCAGCUAUGGUACGAAACUGCAAAAAACGCCAACUAAUGAAAUGUUGGGGAAGCUAUUAGCUUCCCCAACUGUGUCAACAUUUCUGUGUGGCUUUAAUUAAGAAAUCAUAUUAUAUUAUGCUUUUGAAAUUGAGUGAACUGGCAGAGUCACCAUAUUGUUGGGCCGGAACAGCCGCUAGUGUGUUCUAUGUCACACGAUGCAUGCACAUUCAAUAUCUGAGGAGUGAGCCAAUUUCAGAUGCAGGUGCAAAACGUUGGGAGUUGUCCAUAAAGUUGCACAUUUCCUGUAUAAUCACUUCUGCCUAUUCCAGUACCACGCAGAAAGUGAAAGAGGCAGAGAGGGACAUUAACGGUGGUGCUGUCCAUGGGACUGAACUGGCUAAAAGUCUGUUUCAAAUGUAGCCAGCUUGUCAACUUGGCAAAUAAUCAACCAUGUAACGUUGUUGAAUGCCGAAAUCUGAGUCUGGUAAUCAGGCUAUGGUCCUAGGCUACCGUUCUGUAUUACCUGGGGUUCACUAGCUGUCCUCUGAUAUUUUGACAUCUCAAAAUGUAAAUUCUUCUACAGGAUAUUCUCUCUAUACAAGCUAGGCUAGACUUGCUCUGCUAGUUGGCCUAUCAGUGUCUAGCCAACUGAUGCUGUAGCCUACAUUCAGCAAAGAGUAGUAUGUACAGCUUCUGUGUGCCUGUUAACAUUUAUAAUCUACUCCUCCACCUUCACUGCAAUAACAGCUAAGACUAAACAAUGAUUAACCAACUACAUCGCGCUAACUACCUCCCGAGCACAUUGUUGUUAAGCAGUGUUUGUGUUUUAGCUAACUACAGUGCAUUCGGAAAGCAUUCAGACCCCUUGACGUUUUCCACAUUUUGUUACGUUACAGCCUUACUCUAAAAUAGAUUAAAUCGUUUUUCCCCCCUCAUCAAUCUACGCAACUUUUUUGCGUGUAAAU